AGUGAACGCUGGCGGUAGGCCUAACACAUGCAAGUCGAACGGCAGCACAGGAGAGCUUGCUCUCUGGGUGGCGAGUGGCGGACGGGUGAGGAAUACAUCGGAAUCUACUCUGUCGUGGGGGAUAACGUAGGGAAACUUACGCUAAUACCGCAUACGACCUACGGGUGGAAGCAGGGGAUCUUCGGACCUUGCGCGAUUGAAUGAGCCGAUGUCGGAUUAGCUAGUUGGCGGGGUAAAGGCCCACCAAGGCGACGAUCCGUAGCUGGUCUGAGAGGAUGAUCAGCCACACUGGGACUGAGACACGGUCCAGGCUCCUACGGGAGGCAGCAGUGGGGAAUAUUGGACAAUGGGCGCAAGCCUGAUCCAGCCAUACCGCGUGGGUGAAGAAGGCCUUCGGGUUGUAAAGCCCUUUUGUUGGGAAAGAAAUCCAGCUGGCUAAUACCCGGUUGGGAUGACGGUACCCAAAGAAUAAGCACCGGCUAACUUCGUGCCAGCCGCCGCCGCAG
rnacentral:rRNA from 1 species